rnacentral:rRNA from 1 species
UACGGAGGGUGCAAGCGUUGUUCGGAAUUAUUGGGCGUAAAGCGCGUGUAGGCGGCUUUGCAAGUCGGGUGUGAAAGCCCUCGGCUCAACCGAGGAAGUGCGCCCGAAACUGCGGAGCUUGAGUACCGGAGAGGAUGGCGGAAUUCCCCAAGUAGAGGUGAAAUUCGUUGAUAUGGGGAGGAACACCGGUGGCGAAGGCGGCCAUCUGGACGGAUACUGACGCUGAGACGCGAAAGCGUGGGUAGCAAACAGG